rnacentral:lncRNA from 1 species
CCAAAUCAUCUCUUUGCAUCUCGAAAAAGCACAAGCUAUAUAUUCAACAUUUAAUUUGUUGAUAUCAUAUUUUUUAGUAAAUGGUCAAAUAAAAUGAUGAAUGAAAUUAUUCUUUGAUUAGAUUGAAUACAAUAAGAGUUUCUUAUUUACCUCAUUUCCAAAUUGACCAACCAAUUUAGCAUUUGGGUCUAAUGUAGCAAAUACGUCAUGGACUGCUUGAAUUAAAUCCGAAUCACUACCAACUCUAAGCCUAUAUUGAAACCUUGGAUUCAAG